rnacentral:rRNA from 1 species
UACAGAGGGUGCGAGCGUUAAUCGGAAUUACUGGGCGUAAAGCGCGCGUAGGCGGCUUUGCAAGCCGGAUGUGAAAUCCCCGGGCUUAACCUGGGAACUGCAUUCGGGACUGCAUGGCUAGAGUAUGGGAGAGGGAAGUGGAAUUUCAGGUGUAGCGGUGAAAUGCGUAGAUAUCUGAAGGAACAUCAGUGGCGAAAGCGACUUCCUGGACCAAUACUGACGCUCAUGUGCGAAAGCGUGGGGAGCAAACAGG